rnacentral:rRNA from 1 species
CUUUACUAUAACUUGACAUUGACUUUGGGCUCCUUUUGCGCAGUCUAGGUGGGAGGCUAUGAUAUCUUGUUUCCGGGCAAGAUGGAGCCGUUUUUGAGAGACCACUCUGAAAGAGCUAAAAUUCUAAUAGUGAUCCUUGAAUCAGGACACUUGACAGUGUCAGGCGGGUAGUUUUUCUGGGGCGGAAUCCUCCUAAAAAGUAACGGAGGUGCGCAAAGGUUCCCUCAGGCUGGACGGAAAUCAGCUGUAGAGUGUAAAGGCAUAAGGGAGCUUGACUGCAAGACCUACAAGUCGAGCAGGGGCGAAAGCCGGCCUUAGUGAUCCGACGGUACCGCGUGGAAGGGCCGUCGCUCAACGGAUAAAAGUUA